GGACUACUGGGGUAUCUAAUCCUGUUCGCUCCCCUAGCUUUCGCGCCUCAGCGUCAGUUACCAGCCAGGACACUGCCUUCGCCUUUGGUAUUCCUCCGGAUAUCUACGCAUUUCACCACUCCACCCGGAAUUCUAUGUCCCUCUCUGGUCCUCAAGUCCAGCAGUUUUCAGCGGCCUUUCCCGGUUAAGCCGGGAACUGUCACGCUAAACUUACUCGACCGCCUGCACGCCCUUUACGCCCAGUAAAUCCGGACAACGCUCGCCCCCUACGUAUUACCGCGGCUGCUGGCAC
rnacentral:rRNA from 1 species